AGCAACACGUCGAUUUAAUUUUGCCAAAACGAUCAUGUUUAAAUUUUAAUACCAAUCUUUUUUUGUUUAUUUUUUAACAAUCUUACUAAUUUCAUGUAAUAUUUUUAACAGUCAUAAAGUACCUAUAAAUUGCAACGUAAUAUCACUUCGUCUAUGGUUUAAAUUUUGUAUGUAUAUUAAUCAUUGUAAACUUAACUGGCUUAGAGUCUUUGGUAUUGCGCAGUCUAAAUUAGACCUAGUUAACUCAUAACUGAAUUGCUACAUGAUGAAUACUACAAUAAAAUUAGUAGGUUACCUUUAGACCUUCUAAAUGUGUGAUACAAUAUAAUUAAUCAGUCCAAAACUAUUUUGAACAGGAACUAGCUAGUUGUAAGAUAAAAAUAAAUUCAAGAUCCAAAUUGGUUUAUAAAUGACGGAGUUAUAAGGCAAUGAACAAAAGAAAAUACUGUCGAAUUAAGAACCUCGUUAUUUUUGAAAUCGUUUGAAAACAAUGAUGUAAAUUGUUUCGCAUAGUGCGAUUGUAGAUAUGGCGCCAAUAAAGAUAUUGUUGCUGAUAUCUGAUAACACUGUUUCGGCAUAUUGGUUGAUUUGGCAUUUGUUUUGUCGUGAUGAAUUGCAUAAAAUAAGAAAAAAUUAGUACAUAAUCAGUAUAAACAUGAUUGAAAGGGUUUCGUGCGGUAAUCCUCCAUUUUUCGCUGAGCAUGAGCAUAAAGUAUCGUUGAGCAUGAUGCCGGCCCUGAUAAUAUUAUCAGUUUACGGGUGCUUAACGUAUAACCGUCGUGCAAUUUCCCACAGAGCCUUAAAAGCAAAUACCUUCCUUUGAAUCAAGACACAAUAGCAGGGCAAGAGUCAGACACAUUAGUGACAUGCGAUAAAAUUCAAUAAGAAAUCAAAGUAAUCAUCAUCAGUAGGAGCAAACCAUUCAAUAAGGAUUUUUAUAUUAACUGUGAGGUACGAUUAUAAAAAAAUCGGCGUUUAGCUUCUUAACAGCUCAUCUCGUGGCAUGUUACUAUAGAUCAGAGAAUACGCUGUGCCACACUUGCCACCUCUCUUGCUAGUCAUGUACAAUAGGGUUACAAAAUUGAGAGCUGUUAAUCAUAUUUUUGGUGACUUCAUUAUAUUCCUUUUUUGAUAAUAAAUCAUUUUAUACAUUAUCGAAAAUAUGUAUAUAAUAAUAGUUUAUUUAUUUAUCUCACAACUUUUUUGAAUACAAUAAAACAUUUAAUAUAAUACCAUAGAUACAUCAAAGUUGUAGAGAACUGGUGCCUGAACUGGUAUAUGUAAUAUAUUUAUAAAAUAGUCUGUUAUUAAAUGUAAAAAUAAUAUAAUUUUCGAUAAAAUUCAUUUUAUCUUUUUGUCUAUAAAGAUAAUGUCAAAUCGUAAUUAUA